UGGGGAAUUUUGCACAAUGGGGGAAACCCUGAUGCAGCGACGCCGCGUGAUUUAGAAGGCCUUCGGGUUGUAAAAAUCUUUUCUAUGGGAAGAAAAUGACAGUACCAUAGGAAUAAGGACCGGCUAAUUACGUGCCAGCAGCCGCGGUAAUACGUAAGGGCCGAGCGUUGUCCGGAAUCAUUGGGCGUAAAGGGUACGUAGGCGGGUAAGCAAGUUAGAAGUGAAAUCCUAUAGCUCAACUAUAGUAAGCUUUUAAAACUGCUCAUCUUGAGGUAUGGAAGGGAAAGUGGAAUUCCUAGUGUAGCGGUGAAAUGCGCAGAUAUUAGGAGGAAUACCGGUGGCGAAGGCGACUUUCUGGCCAUGACCUGACGCUGGGGUACGAAAGCGUGGGUAGCAAACAGG
rnacentral:rRNA from 1 species